rnacentral:ncRNA from 2 species
GAUCAUGAGUCCCAACGCGAAGCUCUGGCUGGUUGGGCGGCAACCCUCUCCCGUAGCGGGGUGCCCCAGAUGACGAUCCGGUCGACCGGCAAGACCGCCGGCGGCAAGUACGGCGC